GGACCACCAAAUACUGGUCCACAACAACUCUCUAGGAUGCAGCAGCAGCACAGGAAAUACAUACUGCCAAGGAAAAAUCAGAAAACAGAUACGAUCAGCAAAUGUAAUUUUAUCAUAGAGGAAUCUGCUUGAUUCUUUUAACAACUACAUGCUUAAUUAUGGAGUAUAAUAACGUGAUAAAAUCAGGAAAGUAGCUCACCAAGAAGAUGCAAUCCUGCAUAUGCCAUUACAGAGAAAA
rnacentral:misc_RNA from 1 species